CGAGAAAGCCCGCAAGGGUGAGUACAGCGGCGCACGGGUGAGUAACACGUGGGUAAUCUGCCCUGGAGUCCGGAAUAACUCGCCGAAAGGCGUGCUAAUGCCGGAUGAGACCACGGGGGCUUCGGCCCCUGAGGGAAAAGGUGGCCUCUGCAUGCAAGCUAUCACUUCAGGAUGAGCCCGCGGCCCAUCAGCUCGUUGGCGGGGUAACGGCCCACCAAGGCUACGACGGGUAGCUGGUCUGAGAGGACGAUCAGCCACACUGGAACUGAGACACGGUCCAGACUCCUACGGGAGGCAGCAGUGGGGAAUCUUGCGCAAUGGGCGAAAGCCUGACGCAGCAACGCCGCGUGUGUGAUGAAGGUCUUCGGAUCGUAAAGCACUGUCGCGAGGGACG
rnacentral:rRNA from 1 species